AGUUUGUGUUUGGAGCGUCGUCUGGCCGCAUGUGUAGUACGAGUAGUAGAAAAACUUUCACAUCAGAGAUAUGAAAGGACUGAAAAAGCAAACUUUUCCGUGUGAAUAAGUGAAAUAUUGCAUGCGAUAAAAAACACAAAAAUCAAAAUAAAUUAAAGGAACGCAA